CAGGACGAACGCUGGCGGCGUGCCUAACACAUGCAAGUCGAGCGGAGACAGACGGAAAGCUUGCUUCUGUCUGUUCAGCGGCGGACGGGUGAGUAACGCGUGAGCAACCUGCCUUUAACAGGGGAAUAACGCAUCGAAAGAUGUGCUAAUACCGCAUAAGACCACAGCAUCACAUGGUGCAGGGGUCAAAGGAGCAAUCCGGUUAAAGAUGGGCUCGCGUCCGAUUAGCUGGUUGGUGAGACAACAGCCCACCAAGGCGACGAUCGGUAGCCGACCUGAGAGGGUGAUCGGCCACAUUGGAACUGAGAUACGGUCCAGACUCCUACGGGGGGCAGCAGUGGGGAAUAUUGGGCAAUGGGCGAAAGCCCUGACCCAGCAACGCCGCGUGAGGGAAGAAGGGUUUCGGCUCGUAAACCUCUGUCCUAUGGGACGAAGGAAGUGACGGUACCAUAGGAGGAAGCCCCGGCUAACUACGUGCCAGCAGCCGC
rnacentral:rRNA from 1 species